CCCUCCUCUUUUUUCAUGUGACUCCUUGUACAAAGGGAGUCUCCAUCUUCUUUGUAGCCACCCUUUAAAUACUGGAACAUGGUGUUAAGGUUUUCC